GUCCUCUUGUUUAUAUAUGAGGUCUGACCUGCCCGGUGAAAUUUGUUUUAACGGCCGCAGUAUUUUGACUGUGCAAAGGUAGCAUAAUCAUUAGUCUUUUAAUAGGGGGCUGGUAUGAAGGGUUUGACGAGGUGUUUACUGUCUCAUUUAAUUUGUGUUUAGAAUUUAACUUUUCAGUUAAAAGGCUGAAAUCGUAUUGGAAGACGAGAAGACCCUAUAGAGCUUUAUAAUUAAAAUUUUAAUUAUUUUUUGUUUAUUAUUUUUUAUUAUUAUUUUAAUUAUUUUGUUGGGGUGACAAAAAUAUAUAAUUAACUUUUUUUAUUUAAUUAACAUUGAUUUAUGAUUAUUAGAUCCAUUAUUAGUGAUUGUUAGAUUAAGUUACCUUAGGGAUAACAGCGUAAUCUUCCUUCAGAGUUCAUAUUUACGGGAAGGCUUGCGACCUCGAUGUUGGAUUAAGAUAAUAAUUAGGUGUAGCCGCUUAAUAUAUAGGUCUGUUCGACCUUUAAAUUCUU
rnacentral:rRNA from 1 species